AAGACUGUGCUUCACAGGAUCAUUUCUGUAGGCAAGUUUUCACCACACGUUUUUUCCGACAGGAAAAGAUUUCCCACCCACGAUGAUGUGACUAUGGUGGCCAGUUUGGAGCGUGAAACUUGGUUCGGGUGCUGCCCAUUCGAUGUUUAUUCGGAACGGGUACCGAGCUGCUGAUGAUCGGCUUCCUUGCAAUAAAACUGGCCGCGGUCUGAGUGGU